CUUGAGGUAGGAGUAUAGGGACAGAGAAAUAACAGGCGAGUGUUCUUGACCGGUGUUGCUUCUUGGAUACGUUUUGGAGCUCAAAACGAGACAAAGAAGACUCGAAAAUUUAAAUAUCCAAUUACUUGUUUUGAUGCGCAGAGUCACCAUCCAAACUUUCUUUCUCUACCAGCCUCCACCCUUAGCCUCCGCUGCUUUGGUUUCCGGACACAGCCCGCCAAUAAUAUUUGACUAUGCUCACCAGUUUUUGCUCUGCUCGUCGUUACCGCUCUAACUUGAUUGAUUAUUUCUCCAUUUUUAAGAAUUUGGAGCUUUAGCCUCUUUUAUUUAUUUAUUUAUAUAUGCGUGCGUGUUUGUGUGUGUGUGUUUGUGUGUGUGUGUUCUGGGGUUUGAUUAAGAAAAAAUAAUACGAAAAGCUCACAAAAAACCUGCUUCUAUCAUCGCUCCAAUCUUCUCAAUCGCAGCGAGGGAAGCUUGAAAUGCGAGCUUCUCCGAUAUACCAGAGGGAAAUUAUAUGUUUCUAGUUAACACCCUCGUUUGUUUUGUUAUUAUUUUGAUAAAUUAAAUACCCUCCACUAUGGGCAUCGGGCUAAUAAUCCAUCUAGCUGCUGUUUGCCCUUGAAUUGUUUUAUUUUUUUUUACAGAUUUAUGAACCCACCUAAUCCUUACUUUAAUUUAAAAUGAACCAACCUGAUGUAAUCCCUUCCAUGACAAACAAAUCUCUUUUUCUGUAACGGCAGGUAGAGCUUCUUGAAGUUUGACAUAGCUGAGGCACUUUCUUUCAUGCUAUUCAUCUAAGCUCGUGAAUGAGUAACUUUUUAGCCUAACAGUCCUCUCGUGGAUCAUCGAUCUUGGACUGAUUAUGAUUUUUCAAAACAAAGCUGGGAUCAGAGCUUCACAUGGGGAAGUCAAAGGAAGAACACUGGUGUAGUCUUUAUCUUGGUGGUCAAAU
rnacentral:lncRNA from 1 species